GAUGAACGCUAGCUACAGGCUUAACACAUGCAAGUCGAGGGGCAGCAUAAAUCUAGCAAUAGAUUUGAUGGCGACCGGCGCACGGGUGAGUAACACGUAUCCAACCUACCUAUUACUCGGGUAUAGCCUUUCGAAAGAAAGAUUAAUCCCCGAUACGAUAUUGAGUUCGCAUGAAUUUGAUAUGAAAGAUUUAUUGGUAUUAGAUGGGGAUGCUGUCCAUUAGAUUGUUGGUGAGGUAACGGCUUACCAAGUCUUCGAUGGAUAGGGGUUCUGAGAGGAAGGUCCCCCACACUGGAACUGAGACGCGGACCAGACGCCUACGGGAGGCAGCAGUGAGGAAUAUGGGUCAAUGGGCGAGAGCCUGAACCAGCCAAGUAGCGUGAGGGAUGACUGCCCUAUGGGUUGUAAACCUCUUUUAUAAGGGAAUAAAACGCUCCACGAGUGGAGCUUUGCAUGUACCUUUUGAAUAAGGAUCGGCUAACUCCGUGCCAGCCGCCGCAGUAA
rnacentral:rRNA from 1 species